rnacentral:rRNA from 1 species
AUGCAGCCAUGCCGCGUGUAUGAAGAAGGCCUUCGGGUUGUAAAGUACUUUCAGCGAGGAGGAAGGCGAUACGGUUAAUAACCGUGUCGAUUGACGUUACUCGCAGAAGAAGCACCGGCUAACUCCGUGCCAGCAGCCGCGGUAAUACGGAGGGUGCAAGCGUUAAUCGGAAUUACUGGGCGUAAAGCGCACGCAGGCGGUCUGUCAAGUCGGAUGUGAAAUCCCCGGGCUCAACCUGGGAACUGCAUUCGAAACUGGCAGGCUUGAGUCUUGUAGAGGGGGGUAGAAUUCCAGGUGUAGCGGUGAAAUGCGUAAAGAUCUGGAGGAAAUACCGGGUGGCGAAAGCGGCCGCCUGGGACAAAAACUGACGGUUUUAGUCCCAAAAGCGGGGAGAGCA